rnacentral:rRNA from 1 species
ACUCCUACGGGAGGCAGCAGUGGGGAAUAUUGCGCAAUGGCCGCAAGGCUGACGCAGCGACGCCGCGUGUGGGAGGACGCCUUUCGGGGUGUAAACCACUGUUGCCCGGGACGAACAACUGACAUUGGUCAGUCUGACGGUACUGGGUGAGGAAGCACCGGCUAACUCCGUGCCAGCAGCCGCGGUAAUACGGAGGGUGCGAGCGUUGUCCGGAAUCACUGGGCGUAAAGGGCGCGUAGGCGGUGCGGUAAGCGUGCGGUGAAAGCUCGGGGCUCAACCCCGAGUCGGCCGUGCGAACUGCUGGACUGGAGCAUGUCAGAGGCGGGUGGAAUUCCGGGUGUAGCGGUGGAAUGCGUAGAGAUCCGGAAGAACACCGGUGGCGAAGGCGGCCCGCUGGGACAUAGCUGACGCUGAGGCGCGACAGCGUGGGGAGCAAACAGGAUUAGAUACCCUGGUAGUCCACGCCGUAAACGAUGGGUACUAGGUGCUUGGGGGAGCGACCCCCUGGGUGCCGGCGCUAACGCAUUAAGUACCCCGCCUGGGGAGUACGACCGCAAGGUUGAAACUCAAAGGAAUAGACGGGGGCCCGCACAAGCGGUGGAGCAUGUGGUUUAAUUACGACGCAACGCGAAGAACCUUACCUGGGCUAUGACAUGCACGGGAGACCCCGGUGAAAGCCGGGGCCCCCUUACGGGGCUCGUGCACAGGUGCUGCAUGGCUGUCGUCAGCUCGUGUCGUGAGA